rnacentral:rRNA from 1 species
CGAACAGACGAGGAGCUUGCUCCUUUGACGUUAGCGGCGGACGGGUGAGUAACACGUAGGUAACCUACCUAUAAGACUGGGAUAACUUCGGGAAACCGGAGCUAAUACCGGAUAAUAUUUCGAACCGCAUGGUUCGAUAGUGAAAGAUGGCCUUGCUAUCACUUAUAGAUGGACCUGCGCCGUAUUAGCUAGUUGGUAAGGUAACGGCUUACCAAGGCAACGAUACGUAGCCGACCUGAGAGGGUGAUCGGCCACACUGGAACUGAGACACGGUCCAGACUCCUACGGGAGGCAGCAGUAGGGAAUCUUCCGCAAUGGGCGAAAGCCUGACGGAGCAACGCCGCGUGAGUGAUGAAGGUCUUCGGAUCGUAAAACUCUGUUAUUAGGGAAGAACAAACGUGUAAGUAACUGUGCACGUCUUGACGGUACCUAAUCAGAAAGCCACGGCUAACUACGUGCCAGCAGCCGCGGUAAUACGUAGGUGGCAAGCGUUAUCCGGAAUUAUUGGGCGUAAAGCGCGCGUAGGCGGUUUUUUAAGUCUGAUGUGAAAGCCCACGGCUCAACCGUGGAGGGUCAUUGGAAACUGGAAAACUUGAGUGCAGAAGAGGAAAGUGGAAUUCCAUGUGUAGCGGUGAAAUGCGCAGAGAUAUGGAGGAACACCAGUGGCGAAGGCGACUUUCUGGUCUGUAACUGACGCUGAUGUGCGAAAGCGUGGGGAUCAAACAGGAUU